rnacentral:rRNA from 1 species
GACAAACGCUGGCGGCAUGCCUAACACAUGCAAGUCGAACGGACAGAACAGGGAAGCAUUUCGGAGUGGAACUGGAAAGUUAGUGGCGGAUGGGUGAGUAACGCGUGGACAACCUACCUUGUAAAGGGGAAUAACCUCGAGAAAUCGAAGCUAAUACCCCAUAAUAACCUUGCUUCGCAUGAAGUAAGGAGGAAAGGCGGCCUUAGCGCUGUCGAUACAAGAUGGGUCCGCGUCUGAUUAGCUAGUUGGUGAGGUAAAGGCUCACCAAGGCGACGAUCAGUAGCCGGCCUGAGAGGGUGAACGGCCACAUUGGGACUGAGACACGGCCCAAACUCCUACGGGAGGCAGCAGUGGGGAAUCUUCCGCAAUGGGCGAAAGCCUGACGGAGCAAUGCCGCGUGAGUGAAGAAGGCCUUCGGGUUGUAAAACUCUGUCCUUAUCGAAGAGAGAGUGUUGUAGUAACUGACAAUACUAGGACGGUAGAUGAGGAGGAAGCCCCGGCUAACUAUGUG